UCAAAGGCCCUUCUCAGGGCCACCCCACUAAAUCUGUUAGAAGAGCU
rfam:Camelus ferus unplaced genomic scaffold scaffold2639, whole genome shotgun sequence.